GCGUGACGUUGUGGAGGAAAGCCCCGGUCGAUGACGUCAAACCUAAACCACGCCCCCCGCGAGAGUGCGCGUUUUUGGCGCAUGGUGACACAAGCGUCGAUUUAUUCCUCACGUACACCUUUUCUCAACGCCGAUGGAGUCAAUGUGAGAGUAAAAAGACAAAAAAAUAUGUAACAGUGCUAGAAAAAAGCUGAGGUUUAUUGGAAGACCAAGCAGAAGGAAUGAUCAAUGAUACGCUCGCCCGCUUGGAAUCCGCCGAGAUUUGAAGCCCGCCAUCAAAGCACCGUCAUCGUGAGGACUUCACUUUCAUCCAACCAAAUAAGCAACCACCAUCCCAUCACAUCUGUCUGUUGGAGCAUUCCUCCAGUCUUUGAUGUAAGAGCAUCCCCAAGGACUCAAGCAGCUGAGGAAAAGAAAAAGAAAUAAAAACAAAUGAGAAGGGUGUGUUUGUUUUAACAGCAAUCUUAAAAGCCAGUCAUCACAUUCUAGGAAGUGACUUAGACAUGAGCUCAUAUUUUGGGGGGAAAUUAGCAAUCAAAAUGGCCAUCUGAGCUCGAUUACAGCAUGAAACAUUCCCGCUGGGAUUGCCACAAACAUCUGCUAUUGUUUUUUUUUUCCGGAGUACGUAGGAAACAGGUGAACGGACCAGCCGGACUCAAAACGCCACAGAAUCGGGAGGUCAAGGACAAACUGGAAGAAACGGCAAACAUUUCCUCAAAGGAAACCUAAUUGUUUUAGUAUCGGAGCACAUUUACAGUCAGUGGUGUAAGAGGCCCGCAGAGGUUUGGCAGGAAUGCGGAUUUUAAACAUUUUGUUGAGUCAUCAACAAAAAAAGAAAAAGGGCAUUUCCUGACUUUUCCCUGGACAAUAUGACAAAAAUAGGUUGUUUUCUCGAUACUUGCGAACCUCACAGCUGAUAACAUUUAAACUAAGAAGAGGUGAUGUUUUACAGGCGCGGGCCGGGGUGGCCUGGGUGGCGACGGUGAACGCGGCUACGAUGGAGGCGAAGACCACGUCGGGGCUCUUGGCGGCGUCCACGGGGGCGUGGAUACCCCUGGCACUGUAGUACUUGACUAGAGGCGCCGUCUGGCGAUGGUACGCAUCCAGGCGAGAGCGCAGUGUCGUCUCGUUGUCGUCGCUGCGGCGGAUCAAGGGCUCGCCGGUCACCUGGACGGAAAAAGUAGUCAGGAUUAAAUUUGUAUUCCGAUGCAAUGAGAUUAGACCUCAGAUUGUCCUCACGUCAUCUUUCAUGGCCUCUUUGGGUGGGUUGAACUCUUCGUGGUAGGAGCGGCCGCUGGGCUGAUGUAUCAGUCUGCCGCGACGGAAAUGACAUCAUCACCAACACGCUCCAAUCACAUAGCGCCCCUUCGUGCAGACAAGAAUCUGUCCAGUGAGCAGUGGCAAACAACUACCUGCCACAGAUCCUGCGCACCAGCAGCGAAUCGUCAACAGAAAACUCCACGACCGAGUCCAGUCGCUCUUGUCGCUUGUCCAGAAGCUCGUCCAGCUGAAAAGUGACCAAUUCGGGUUCGUCAAGGGAAGGCUAACGCUCAACGCCGACCUAUCAAAACGUACAAGCUCGGCUUGCUUGACUGUGCGGGGGAAUCCGUCCAAUAAGAAGCCUUUCUUGCAGCGAGGAGUGUCCAGGUUGUUCUCUAUGAGCUCCACGACCAUCUCGUCGCUCACCUGAACCACAGGAAAUGGCUCACGCUUGACAGGAAACUCGGGAAGUCACAGGAGACAUGCAAAUUGCGCUCACCAGCUUCCCGGCAUCCAUCGUGUGCUUGAGUUUCUUCCCCAGCUCCGAGCCCGACGCCACCAUGGCCCUCAGCAUGUCCCCAGUGGAAAGGUGACAGACACAGUAGCGAUCGGCUAGUCGAGAGGCCUGCAAAAUGGGGGUGAGGGGUCAAUCGCCAGGUGUGCAGGUGUGAGUGGGCCUUAGGGUGUCACACAAAAAACAGACCCUAACACUAAAUACCCUACUUUAAUACUGCAUCAUACUUACUAAAGUUGGGCAACUCAAAGUUUGCUCCCCCAAAAAAUAAAACAUUCCUUACAUUCUUUAACUGAGCAGUGUGUAAACCUUCGGCAAUAAAAUUCCCAUCAAAUGGAAGGAAGAGAAUAAAACCGCUGGCUGAGUGCAAAACUAAACGACGGCAUUAAAAAAAAAAUAGCAUUAGCCGACUGCUAAAGUCCUGCAACCACCAUGCGUCCAAGUUAGCUGCAACGAGCUAACGCUAGCUGCUAACGUCUGCUCACCUGGGUCCCUUUGCCGGCACCGGGUGGCCCGAGCAGGAUGGCCCGGAUGCCCUCAUGCACGUCGGCCAUUGCCUCUUUGAGAUGUGUGCUGGGGGCCAUGGGCGUAAGGUGGCAGGCGACCAAAAGAGAAACUUUGCCCCAAGUCCGGCACACGUCGUUCUUCAGCUGACAGCUCAGCCAAGUGGGUAGGGAAAA